rnacentral:rRNA from 1 species
UUGCCAGCCCGCUCAGAAACUUAAAUGAAUUGACGGGGGCCCGCACAAGCGGCGGAGCAUGUGGAUUAAUUCGAUGCAACGCGAAGAACCUUACCUGGGUUUGACAUACACCGGAAAACCGUAGAGAUACGGUCCCCCUUGUGGUCGGUGUACAGGUGGUGCAUGGCUGUCGUCAGCUCGUGUCGUGAGAUGUUGGGUUAAGUCCCGCAACGAGCGCAACCCUUGUCUUAUGUUGCCAGCACGUGAUGGUGGGGACUCGUAAGAGACUGCCGGGGUCAACUCGGAGGAAGGUGGGGACGACGUCAAGUCAUCAUGCCCCUUAUGUCCAGGGCUUCACACAUGCUACAAUGGCCAGUACAGAGGGCUGCGAGACCGUGAGGUGGAGCGAAUCCCUUAAAGCUGGUCUCAGUUCGGAUCGGGGUCUGCAACUCGACCCCGUGAAGUCGGAGUCGCUAGUAAUCGCAGAUCAGCAACGCUGCGGUGAAUACGUUCCCGGGCCUU